AUUGCACCUAUAAUUGAGGUGACAUCUGCCAUGAACUUUUGUCAAUUUGUCAAUGUUUUGUAUUGAUGAUCACUUUGUUGGUGCAACUUAAUAAAUAAAUAAAUAAACUCAUAGGCGCAGUAGCGUGUGGUUUUUCGUAUGCCGAUAGCCUUUAAAGGCUAUAUCAGCGUUACCCUAGCAUGUAGGUGAGCUUUCGGGGCUCAAAGCGGAGGUGUUACUAACACUGGUCCAAGCAAAAGCAGUGCAUUGCAGAAUCGACCGCCAGAUCGGAAACGCAGUUGCGUGUACGACAUCGCGAUAAGGCCGAAAACUUCCUUCGUGCCUAAGCUGCAAGGGAGGGGAGGGGCGACUGCGGGAUGAGGGGAGGACGCGGAGUAUGACCAACCAUUGAAAUGAUUCAUAAUGCGAUUUGUAUUACUUAUUAUAUUACGAGCAAGUCGAGUCGAACGAGAAGUUGAGUAAAACAAUAUUUCACCAGGACAGGUGGGCAAGCAAGGGCUCAGCCAGGAGGUGUUCUUAAGCUGUCAAUAAACGUGGGAGAUUCAAA